GAUGAACGCUGGCGGCGUGCCUAAUACAUGCAAGUCGAGCGAAAAGAUGAGGAGCUUGCUCCUCUGACGUUAGCGGCGGACGGGUGAGUAACACGUGGAUAACCUACCUAUAAGACUGGGAUAAUUUCGGGAAACCGGAGCUAAUACCGGAUAAUAUAUUGAACCGCAUGGUUCAAUAGUGAAAGACGGUUUUGCUGUCAUUUAUAGAUGGUUCCGCGCCGCAUUAGCUAGUUGGUAAGGUAACGGCCUACCAAGGCAUCGAUGCGUAGCCGACCUGAGAGGGUGAUCGGCCACACUGGAACUGAGACACGGUCCAGACUCCUACGGGAGGCAGCAGUAGGGAAUCUUCCGCAAUGGGCGAAAGCCUGACGGAGCAACGCCGCGUGAGUGAUGAAGGUCUUCGGAUCGUAAAACUCUGUUAUUGGGGAAGAACAAAUGUGGAAGUAACUAUGCACGUCUUGACGGUACCUAAUCAAAAAGCCACGGCUAACUACGUG
rnacentral:rRNA from 1 species